rnacentral:rRNA from 1 species
UACGUAGGGGGCAAGCGUUGUCCGGAUUUAUUGGGCGUAAAGAGCGUGUAGGCGGCUGGGUAGGCCCGUUGUGAAAACUCGAGGCUCAACCUCGAGACGCCGAUGGAAACCCUCCAGCUAGAGUCCGGAAGAGGAGAGUGGAAUUCCUGGUGUAGCGGUGAAAUGCGCAGAUAUCAGGAAGAACACCCGUGGCUAAGGCGGCUCUCUAGUACGGUACUGACGCUGAGACGCGAAAGCGUGGGGAGCGAACAGG